CCACCCAUUUUGUGGAACGACCCUUUUACAUUUGCAUCACAAACAAUAUUUUAGGAAAUCAUGAUGAAAGUGGCCAUUUUAGACAUAUGCAUGCCUCUUGUAAGACUCUAUGAUUGCAAUAGAUGGUCAUAAGUUUACCAUCUGUUUGAUCUCCUCAUUCACACAGGAGAGACACAUGACUAUCGUGGAUCCUCUGGGGAGCCUCAACAACAUCCUGAUGCUGACGAGGAAGAGAAGAGUCUCUCCAGAUCAGAACACCAGAUGGACAACGCUAGCCCUUCCACCCUCUCGGAGUCCCCGUGUCAUGCCUCUCCUGUUAGCACCUUGCUGCUGGUGGACUGCAGGAAAACAAUGGGGCUGAGUGGAACUGUGGGAGGAGGAGAAGAGAGGAAAGGAUCAGAUUUGACUCAAAGUAAGUGCUGUAGUUUAGUUUGAACAAAUAAAUAGAUAUAUUCAUUGGUAUCUGUUACCACGACAACCAGCAGAGUUCUGUUAGUUGACAGGAAGAUAGACUGGUGGAUAUGGAUGUUAUGAAUAUCAUAACACUGAACAAGGAUUCUGCCAAUGAAAAGAGAGAAAUCAGUAGACCAUAUAAAACCUUGAUGAAAGUCAGCUUUAGAGAGGAACCAAUAGACCAUAUAAAACCUUGAUUAAAGUCAGCUUUGGAGAGAAAGUUUCAAGAUGAUCCAAUGUAAGGUGCUUGUUUUACAAAAACUUUUUCUCAAAACAUUAUGGAUGUUACAUUGCCUGUCCCACUCAACCCCCCUAUCUUUACUAGACUGUAGAACAGGCAAACUAAACUCAAGACACUGUUAAUUAAUAAACUAAUACUGGAGGAAAGCUGUGAUCAGGCUGCCUACUCAAGAGAAAGCUUCGAACUGUAACCAGUGGCUGCAACCUGGUUCAGGUUAUCAAUCAACCUACCAGGGUAGUUACAAACAGUACAGAAAUUGAAUCAACAUAUUUUGAUCAUAUCUUUACUAUUGCUGCAGAAAUGUGUUUGAAAGCAGUAUCCAAAUUCAUCGGCUGUUGUGAUCACAAUAUAGUAGUCAUAUCUAGGACAACCAAAGUUCCAAAAGGCUGGGCCUAAUGUUCUAUAUAAGAGGUCAUACAAUUGUUUGUGGUGAUUCCUAUGUUGUUGAUGUUAUUAGGUUGUUUAUUUUCACAGUAAUUAACUCACGGACACUAGAGAAGCUUUAACCAAGUUUAAUUAUUCCCAAAGGUUCUGUACAUCUGUAAUUCAGACAACCCAACAUUUGUUCCAUCCAGAUAUAUAUCCCACUUAAGACACUCCUCCUUCUCUCCAAUCCUUACAUCUUAUGGUUCCACAGGAAGAGAGUUAAGAGGGUAACAGGAUACCAGACCUUUAUCUCCCUGAUGAGAAUCUGUCCUGACCUCAACCUCUCCUUCAUCUAAUCCACAGAUGUUCGUCUGCCUCCCCUGUUUCACACUUUGCUCUCCUCUCGUCCACCCAACACAUUCCAAAGCCACCUGUCUUUCUUCAGAGAACCAUUAACUUCUGACAUAACAGCCAGUCUCUUUCACUUCCUAUCACUUCUUUAAUGUCUCCAUGUUCAAAGUUUGGCCGAUUCCAACAAUGAAAACAAUAUUUGUUGGUCCGUGGUGUGUAAUGACGAGCAACCAGACGCUGCCCUUGACACGUUUAUGAAAUUGCUUAUCCCAGUUACUAAUAAGCAAGCACCCAUUAAGAAAAUGACUAAAAACUGUUAAAUCCACGUGGAUUGAUGAGGAAUUUAAAAAUGGUAUGAUGAAGAGGGAGGCAAAAGAGAUGGCAUAUAGGUCUGGCUGAAUAACUGAUUGGCAAACCUAUUGCAAAUUGAGAAAUCAUGUGACUAAACUGAAUAAAAAGAAGAAACUACACUAUGAAACAAGCUUUGGAACACCUUCAAUUGAAUUUUGGGUCAAAAAAUCAACAAUGGCAUGGUGUCUGACAACGUGGAUGGAAAAUGAUUGAGGAUAAUAGCGGCCGAUAUUGCCAGUUCUAUUCGCAUUAUCUUCAAUUUAAGCCCACUAGAAAGUGUGUUCCCUAGUGAGACAGCAUAGGAUAACACAGCAUUAUCGGCAUAAUUCAUCGUUCAGCUUUGUCUCCUAAAACAUGUUAUUUUCUCAAACUCAGAACCAUAAACCAAUCCUCCAGGCAUAUAUCAAAUCCAUCCUAUCUUGACAAGAUCACAGAGACACACUGACUGGCACACAGACAUUGUGGAGCCAAGAGAUACACGCUUGACCUCUCCCCUCUCUCCGGCCCAAACAACUUAGUCUUGACAUAGAACAGAUACUGCAACCCCGCCACAGUAUUAUACAAAAAUAACAUUCUGAUGAGAAGUAACUUACAAACAUAUGAUGAAUAUAAAACAUCUUACCUAUGUUACCAACCAAUUCUGAUUAUUCCCCAACACCUGUCUAACAGAACACAGUGUUCUUUAAUGGAAGCCUGUACAACAAAAUCAAGGUAGAAUCAGGANNNNNNNNNNGAAUAUUUUCUUAACCCUUAUUUUUCUUAUCUACGUUGUUGGUUAAGGGCUUGUCAGUAAGCAUUUCACGUUACGAUCUACACCUGUUGUAUUCAGCGCAUGUGACAAAUAAUAUUUGAUUGUAACUAAAUAUGAAGUAUGUCAGUUUCAAUGUUACGGUCUUUGAUACAAUUAUAUUUCUGAAACUCAGGCUGUGUGUGUUUAUCUGCGUCAUUCCUUGAUCAUUCCUUGUGGUCCUGUAGCUCAGUUGGUGGAGUAUAGUGCUUGUUAAACCAGGGUAGUGGGUUUGAUUCNNNNNNNNNNNNNNNNNNNUGCUGCCGGUACUGGGGAGCUACAGUUCAUUGAGGGAAGCAUGAAUGCCAACAUGUACUGUGACAUACUGAAGCAGAGCAUGAUCCCCUCCCUUCGGAGGGGCCGCAGGGCAGUAUUCCAACAUGAUAACGACCCCAAACAAACCUCCAAGACGACCACUGCCUUGCUAAAGAAGCUGAGGGUAAAGGUGAUGGACUGGCCAAACAUGUCUCUAGACCUAAACCCUAUUGAGCAUCUGUGGGGCAUCCUCAAAU
rnacentral:lncRNA from 13 species